GGGGAUGUUCCGGAUUCGAUUUCGGCAAAUAGGUUGCGGCUGCACGCGGAGGAUGAUGCUCGGCCUCCUAAAUCAUGCAUCGCCACGUCAAAUGGCAAAAACAACACCAUCGCGUUCGAACGCAGCAAUGCGUUCGCGCUUGCCGCCUGAAGUUGCGGCACGGUUACGCGCGCCCACGCCUGCCUAAGCGCGCGAGCCGUCAAAAAAGCAGGUAAAACUUCGGACUUGUCCGCAUUCCCGCGAAGCGAAAAACGGGAACGCGGAUAGGCUCUCCCGGGCGCCGCCGCCCCAAGGAAAGCCGAAUUCCAAACGUACGGCUAAGCGUGUAGACGUCGCCUCCGAAAGGCCGAAAGACAGGGGUUCGACUCCCCUCAUCUCCACCA
rnacentral:tmRNA from 1 species